UCCUCCGUGGCGCAAUUGGCUAGCGCGUCUGACUGUUAUUCAGGUUGAAAGUUCGAGCCUUUCCGGGGGAG
rnacentral:tRNA from 2 species